GAGCCGGCGCCUCCAGGCGGCUACGGUGUGGUGGUGGCUGCGGCGGCGCCAGGCCCGGGGGGCUCCCGGCCAGACUGCCCUCGAGUUCGAGGGGCUCCAGCUCUAGGGCGCGCAGGUUCUGCUCGCGCAGUCGCUCCUCCUGGCGCCGUUUGAGGCGGCGGCGCAGGAAGCUGCAGAAGCAGCAGAGCAGGACGAUGAGACCCCAGAUGAGCCAGAAGCCGGCGAAGCACGUGAGGAACGUGUAGGUGCCCUGGGACAUCACCAUGGCGGCGGCACGGGCGGCGGGUCCUCAGACGCUUCACUGGACACUGGGCUCCGCUGCGUGGCCCCGGGCCCGCGCCACACUCUCAGGUGCCGCC
rnacentral:lncRNA from 1 species